rnacentral:rRNA from 1 species
CGUAACAAGGUCUCCGUUGGUGAACCAGCGGAGGGAUCAUUACCGAGUUUACAACUCCCAAACCCCUGUGAACAUACCACUUGUUGCCUCGGCGGAUCAGCCCGCUCCCGGUAAAACGGGACGGCCCGCCAGAGGACCCCUAAACUCUGUUUCUAUAUGUAACUUCUGAGUAAAACCAUAAAUAAAUCAAAACUUUCAACAACGGAUCUCUUGGUUCUGGCAUCGAUGAGAAACGCAGCAAAAUGCGAUAAGUAAUGUGAAUUGCAGAAUUCAGUGAAUCAUCGAAUCUUUGAACGCACAUUGCGCCCGCCAGUAUUCUGGCGGGCAUGCCUGUUCGAGCGUCAUUUCAACCCUCAAGCUCAGCUUGGUGUUGGGACUCGCGUUAAUUCGCGUUCCCCAAAUUGAUUGGCGGUCACGUCGAGCUUCCAUAGCGUAGUAGUAAAACCCUCGUUACUGGUAAUCGUCGCGGCCACGCCGUUAAACCCCAACUUCUGAAUGUUGACCUCGGAUCAGGUAGGAAUACCCGCUGAACUUAUGCAUAUCAAU